rnacentral:misc_RNA from 1 species
GAUUCGCGUUAGGGAUUGCAGCGGCAUCCUGCGCCUUUUUCUGGUGCAGAUACAGCGGAAAGCCCGGGCCAAA